rnacentral:rRNA from 1 species
GAUGAACGCUGGCGGCGUGCUUAACACAUGCAAGUCGAACGGAAAGGCUCCUGCUUGCAGGGGUACUCGAGUGGCGAACGGGUGAGUAACACGUGGGUGAUCUGCCCUGCACUUCGGGAUAAGCCUGGGAAACUGGGUCUAAUACCGGAUAGGACGAUGGUCUGGAUGCCAUUGUGGAAAGUUUUUCGGUGUGGGAUGAGCUCGCGGCCUAUCAGCUUGUUGGUGGGGUAAUGGCCUACCAAGGCGUCGACGGGUAGCCGGCCUGGGAGGGUGUACGGCCACAUUGGGACUGAGAUACGGCCCAGGCUCCCACGGGGGGCAGCAGUGGGGAAUAUUGCACCAUGGGCGCAAGCCUGAUGCAGCGACGCCGCGGGGGGGAUGACGGCCUUCGGGUUGGAAACUCCUUUCGCUAGGGACGAAGCGUUUUGUGACGGUACCUGGAGAAGAAGCACCGGCUAACUACGUG